UACGUAGGUGACCAGCGUUGUCCGGAUUUACUGGGCGUAAAGAGCGCGCAGGCGGUCGUUCAAGUCGAGUGUGAAAGCCCCCGGCUCAACUGGGGAGGGUCAUUCGAUACUGAUCGACUGGAAGGCAGGAGAGGGAAGCGGAAUUCCCGGUGUAGUGGUGAAAUGCGUAGAUAUCUGCAGGAACACCCGUGGCGAAAGCGGCGCGCUGGACCACUACUGACGCUGAGGAACGAAAGCUAGGGGAGCAAACAGG
rnacentral:rRNA from 1 species